UACGGGGGGAGCAAGCGUUGUUCGGAUUUACUGGGCGUAAAGGGCGCGUAGGCGGCCAGCACAAGUCAGUUGUGAAAUCUCCGGGCUUAACUCGGAAAGGUCAACUGAUACUGUGCGGCUAGAGUGCAGAAGGGGCAACUGGAAUUCUCGGGUGUAGCGGUGAAAUGCGUAGAUAUCGAGAGGAACACCUGCGGCGAAGGCGGGUUGCUGGGCUGACACCGACGCUGAUGCGCGAAAGCCAGGGGAGCGAACGGG
rnacentral:rRNA from 1 species